UACAGGGGGUGCAAACGUUGCUCGGAAUUAUUGGGCGUAAAGCGCGCGUAGGCGGCUACUUAAGUCGGAUGUGAAAGCCCCUGGCUCAACUGGGGAAGUGCACCCGAAACUGAGUGGCUUGAGUACUAAAGAGGGUCGCGGAAUUCCCGGUGUAGAGGUGAAAUUCGUAGAUAUCGGGAGGAACACCGGUGGCGAAGGCGGCGACCUGGGUAGAUACUGACGCUGAGGAGCGAAAGCGUGGGGAGCGAACAGG
rnacentral:rRNA from 1 species